rnacentral:rRNA from 1 species
GAUCAUGGCUCAGAUUGAACGCUAGCUACAGGCUUAACACAUGCAAGUCGAGGGGCAACAUUUUAGUUUGCUUGCAAACUAAAGAUGGCGACCGGCGCACGGGUGAGUAACACGUAUCCAACCUGCCGAUAACUCGGGGAUAGCCUUUCGAAAGAAAGAUUAAUAUCCGAUGGUAUAUUAAAACCGCAUGGUUUUACUAUUAAAGAAUUUCGGUUUAUCGAUGAGGAUNCGUUCCAUUAGUUUGUUGGCGGGGUAACGG